UGUCUAAGCAAAGCAACAUUCUCUCUCUGGAUUUCCCCCCCUCUAAAUGCUCCAUUUGUUUCACCUACCAUGAAUCACUCCAUUUUUCCAAAAUGGGGUGGCUCAGAUCCCUCCUCUUCCCCUUGAAGAAGCUCUGGUUUCGCAUGCACUCUGCUCCAACAAAGAGUAGAGGGAUAUAUAUUUUAUAUGAAGAUGUGAAGUCAUGCACAGAUGAGGAUGUUCAUGUCCUCUGGUCCAUACUGGUAGAAUCUCAUUCACCCCAAAUUAAACCAAAACAAUGAAGUAUUUCAAGUAUAUAUGAAGCCCCUGUAGUAUCAACAUAUCAGAAAAGAAAUAAAAGCUAGUGGAAGUAAAAAAAAAAAUUCCAUCUAUUUCUCUUUGUUAGGAGCUCUAGUUAGCUUGAAAAAAGAAAGUGGAACCAAAAACUGUAAAUUAACAGGUUUUUUCUAAGAUUCUAAGUUUGGACCUUUAAUGCUUUUCCCACUGUAACCAAAAAGAGAAAACAACAGUUCUUUUUCUUUUCUUCUGCGUGUGUUCUGUUUGGUCAUGACAUUGAAGCCAAUUGCUUAGUCUUCAAACUUAUUUAAUGGCAUUCUUAAAUUAAGAAUGUGAUCAUUUACUAA